UGGGUGAAGGACUUAGGAGCUUGGC
rnacentral:piRNA from 1 species